GUGCUGGCGUGCCGCCGUCGAUGGUUUCUCGCGCGCGCCGCGUACGGGCGAUGGACUCCGCCAACACGGGCACUGCCACCACCGCCGCCGUCGUUGUGGUCGACGCCGACGCCGCAGCCGCCGUUCUCCCGUCACGCAGAUUACUCAAUUUGGAUUUCAACCAGAUAUUACAUUUUAUCGGGAAUUAAUAUUGUUCAAUUUUAAAGAUUUCAAUUGAAUAUUUGACUGAAUUUUUAACUUGUAAGGUCAUUUUUAAGACAAACCAUUAUUAUGAUGGAUCGUAGUGGAAAUGAUAUGAAUAUGACUGGAGACAGCGAUCUAGAUGAUGAUGGUUGUUUAUCCUCUGAUGACUGCGAUGGGGACUCCAACCAGAGUAAAAGUGAUUUGAUGUCUGCAGCAAUGGGAGAUGAUGUGACUGCACAGCUUGCUGCAGCAGAAAAACGCAAUAGCGGAUCGUCGAACACUAGGGGUCUUUGUUAUGGUUUGUGUCGAUCAGGACCAGUUGGAAUGGCUGCUGCUGCUGCAAUUGUGUCAUCAAAGAAGCGAAAAAGACCACAUUCAUUUGAAACCAAUCCAUCUAUUCGAAAACGACAGCACAAUCGGUUACUACGUAAACUCAAAGUUACCAUUGAUGAGUUUGCCACCAGAGUUGGCCAACAAGCAAUUGUAUUAGUAGCGACACCUGGAAAAGAAACCACGGGUUUUAAAUGCUUUGGUGCAAAACCUUUAGAAGAUGUUGUAAAAAAUUUACGUGCCACUGUUAUGGACCAACUGGAUACUGCAUUAGCACAACAUGCACCACCACCUAUUCCUGAUGACCCUACUCUAUAUGAGCUACCACCGCUUAUUUUAGAUGGAAUUCCAACUCCUGUUGAAAAAAUGACCCAGGCUCAAUUAAGAGCAUUUAUACCUUUAAUGUUGAAAUAUUCCACGGGUAGAGGGAAACCUGGUUGGGGCAGAGAAAGUACUCGACCACCUUGGUGGCCCAAUGAAUUACCUUGGGCAAAUGUCAGAAUGGAUGCUCGAUGCGAGGAUGAGAAACAAAAAAUUUCCUGGACAAGAGCAUUACGACAGAUUGUUAUAAACUGUUAUAAGUACCAUGGUCGUGAAGAUUUAUUGCCCACAUUUAGCGAAGAAGAUGAGGCAAAAACAAUUGUUAAUAAUGUUGCAAGUCAAUCAAUUGUUACUUCUGUGCUCAAAUUCAAUCCUAAAGCAACUAGUAUUGAAGCACGAAAUUCACCAGAUGCACAGGAACAACAACAACAACAACAACAACAACAACUAACACAGGUACAGUAUUCUCCGGCUUUCCUCCAUUCAAUUAGUAACGUUGAUGGGUCAAUGUCCAUAUUUCAUGUUGAUCCAAAUAACCCAAUUAUUACGUUACCUGAUGGAACUCAGGCCCAUGUUCAAGGAGUUAUAAAUGCUUCCCAAGGACCAAACGGCCACACAGUUCAUUCUGUUCAUACCCUUGGUGAAGGCCAAAAUCAAGAUGGUGUAACCGUAGAUAUAUUAAAUAAUGUACCUGAAGCCACAUUGAAUCAAGAAGGUCAAAUAAUUAUUACCGGUGAAGAUGGACAAGUGUUGUAUUUUCAGUAUCAAGCAUGAUAACUGUUCCUGUAAGUACUUCAUUAUACCAAAGUGUUUGUCAACAAAUUAGUGAAGGUAGCAUACAGGUUGUCACACCGGUUAUGCAUCAUAUGCCCAAGUCUGAGCCCGGUGGUGGGAUGGAUUCAUCAAAUUGUGAAGUAGAAACCAUUAAUGUGCCACAUCAGUUGGUAGCCAUCACCGGGCAAAAUGGCGAACAA
rnacentral:misc_RNA from 1 species